GCACGGCCGCCGCCAGGGCCGCGGCUGGCAUUGGGUGAGGCCGCUGCGGUCAGCAUGGCCGUUGCGGGAUGCCGUCGGGCCGUGCUCCGGGAUGCCGCUCCCUUCUCGCUGGCCGGAGGCCUCUCCUACCUGACCCGCUACCUCUGCGCUAUUCCCUCCUUGCCUGAACCCGCUUCCAUCGGCAAAGGGAUUCCAGCAGUACAAGAUUUAGUCAUUCUCCCACUUCAAUUCAAGUUAAGGGUUUUGAAGGCUCAAUGCGUGCCUCAUUCGAAUUUCUUUUUUUCAAGAGCACAGAAGGGCUCUUGAGCCAAGUGAACUUUUAGGAGUCAAUAUUUCUCCAGCGCAGAUUCUGAUUUUGGCAGAUGAAUCUGUAGAAGAUUCAGCAAUCCAAGCUGACUUGGGGUUGCUUGCUACGUUACUGCUGAUCAGAGAUAUUCAGGUGAAACGGCUUCCAUACAGGGAAGCGAUGGUUUCACAUGUUCCUCGAGGGACCUUUUCUGAAGGUUCUUGGAUAGGGGACAUGCAACAAGCAUAUGACAAAUCUGUCAUAAUCAGCGAGAUUUUGGACCCAAGGACAAAAAAUUUGUUGCCAAUGUCAAGAAUUAUUGACUAUGUCCUUUCAAAUUCGUGGGUAUGGCAUUGGCAGUGGUUGCAGAAGAUAGGCAGAUAAUUGAUGUCUUGGAGGAGCUAUUUGCCGAACAGUUGCAUGAAACCGAGGGUGCGGAGACUGGAUGCAGCUAGCUUAGAUUGAGAUAAAAGGAAGUAUUGUGAUCAGGUAUUAAGCAGUGGCAAUUGCAACUAUAAUGAAACCAGCAUUCAGUCUGUCCAUAAGAUAGAAAGGGCACGCAUAGAGAGAGUAUUCCACUUCAUAUUUUCUUUGUGAUACUUAGCACUGACAGCAAGUACUGCUCUUUAAUGUUUAGCACUGUUAUCUACAUAGAACUUUAUCAGUAUGGUUUAUGCCGAUUUCAGCAAUUACUAAGUGAGAUCAAGUAGGUUCGUUUACAACUCUGCCUAUGAGGCCUCUAUAUGUGUGAGCAGACCAGUUUCUGGUACAGAGCUAGAAGGCAUGAGGGAUAGCGAUGCUCAUCUACUAUAUAUGUUGUACAAAUGAUGCAAUAUUAUUAUAUGAAAAUAUUUUUUU